GAGAAAGAGGGAGAUAUCCAGGAGGCUGGUAUAUGAUUCACAAAGGGCCAAUCAGCUUCCUUCCUUGUUACAUGAAAAUUGGGAGAAAAAGGUUCUCUAUGCACUGGGUCUUGCUAAACCUGCACCAGGCAGCUGGAGCCAAAGGCCACCAUCUUUUCUAGUCCCAAGAAGGAAGUUCAUUGCAGUAGGGGCACCUGAAGCUAACUCACAAGGAGAGAGGUGAUAAAAGAUGGAAGGGAAAGUAAGCAAGGAGCCAAGAAGUCCAGGAACAAAUCCAUCACAGUGGUCAGCAUGGCCAAAAUAAAGAAAAAAGAAGUGAGGGCAGAAGGAAUUGGUCUUCCUUCUGAAGAUCUCUAAGUUUGGUCCGUUCCUGGCAUACAGUAGGAGCACGGUGCAUUUGUGCUUCAUUUCUCUCUGGUUUUUCUCAGGAAUUCACUCGACUCUUCUUGUGUACGUCACAGCAUAGUGGCCCAUGUGAUCUGGACCACAUUUGACGUUAGGGUCUUAUACCCCUUGGGGGAGAUACAAAGGGACUCCAUACAGAAAACUUUAUGAACUACAGAGGAACUUCCUAGUGUCCUAUUUCUUUGCACCUCCUCUCCACCAUUCACAAAUAGUAAACAUAUACUAUGUGACAAAGGAUUUCAUUCAUUCAACAAAUAUUAAACGUGCCAACAUCAUUUCUAAGUACUUCAGAUGCACUGUAUUUUAUUAUCACACAAAACAUCUUCCCCUAGGUGUUGUUACACCCAUAUCACAGAUGACGAGAAAAGUGAAGUUUCAAAAGAUGAGAUGAAAUCCUUUUCCUAGGAUUAUACAAGUUGCUAAAAUGAUCAGAUCCAAGAUUUGAAUCCAGGUCUAUUCCACUCCCAACAUUAACUAUUUUAUAACAAAAAAGCACACUGCCUUCCAUCCAGUUUGGGUGUAUAGUCAGUUCCCGUCCAAGAGAUUUAUUGUAAUCAUGCCUCUCAGAGAAGUAUUCUGCAGGAGGCUCUGGGGACUACAUCCUCUGAGAGAAGCCAGGAGUGAGAGGACCCAGUGCUUUAUUGCCAGGGACAUUGUGGCUCCAGAACAUUGCUGGAGAUGAGGCUUGGCUAAGGGGUCAGAGGUCACCCACAGAAGGAGAUUGGGAUCAGAAGCUCACUGCAUGCUCUCAUGAAGAAAAUAUCACAUACAAACAUGAAUCAGCCCCUCUCAUCGGAGCAUCUAUUUUGUCUCCUGGGCCUUCAGACAUUAAAUUUACUCAUUAUAAUGCCAUGGCUCCAACCGAUUUUCUGGGUGAGAUCACACACAGAGGAAUCAAACUAAUUUGAGAUUACAUGCCCGCUGCCCUUUCCUAUGAAGAGUUUCUUCUUGUUUCUAAUUAAACUUUUUCUUCUAUGACAAAUACCAAGAUGCCAAAAAAGAUCCCUAUUAAGAAUGAGAAGUGCCAGGAGCUUGGGAUUAUGGGGUGCUAUUUCCCCAUGCCUGGGUGUGCUCUGUUGUCAGUGUUGAGUGUCAGCGAUGUGCCAAAAGGUCAUGGAUUUUGGUUCCUUUAAGUGAGAGUAAACCAAACUCCAGAGGCUGGGCUAUCUGUGCACACCUGGUUACCAGAGAAAUCUCUGCCACCACUCAUGGGUCGCUGGUGUAAAGGCAGCAGUAGGUCACUUCAAAUCCAUUCCCAACCCUGGGAAUACGAUUCAAAAGCCAGCACCCUGUGUAGUUUGGUGAGAGGACAAGGAACAAAUGGAUGGCAUCAAGCCCUCAUUGUCUUUUAUAGCCUGAGUGACUUAGGAAAGAAAAUAAUCCUUACUGAGCACCCACUGUAUGCAAUGAACAGUCAGGACUUUCCUGUGCUCUCAGCUAGUCUUCAUAACAACACCGACAAGUGGGUAUUAUUACCAAGGUGAUGCAGGGCAAGUAGAAAGUGCUGUUUGCUUAUGAUUACACAGGCACGAGGCAGAGCCAGGGUCUGCUCUGGGACCUGUUGAAACUUCUCACUACCUGCACUUCACCUCUGAGUCCCAGUGUCCUCUCUUUGGAAGUAAGGGUAGUAACCUCAUGGACUCGUGGGGCUGAGAUAAAACGUGGGUGAGAAUAUUAGGCUUUGUUCCUGCAGAGACGCUGCAAGUGGAAGGCAGGGUGAGCCUCAUCGUCAGUCGUCAUUCCCACCGCCCACCACGAGCCACCUGCCUGCGGUCUCUGACGAGUGCCUGCAUAGUUAAGAUCAGGCUGCUGUUCUUGAGAGUCUACUUUGCAUCAGAUCUUCUAUACUUCCCUUUUCUAUGGACUGGAAGAAUCACUGAUUCUGGGCGUCCUUUUUUCUUAGAAUUGCGGGAGACAAGAAGUCCAUUCCAUUAUUGGUUGAAGGACAAGCACAGUCAUCAUCCCCAGCCCUCACCAGUGAGGACAGAGUCAAUGGGAAUAUGCAAACUUCAGUGAGUAAGAAGGAACCCUGGGGUAGCAUCUCCAUCUUCCCAUCACCAAAUGGGGCUCAGUGCGACUCAGUACAGUCAUCCCUUCCUGUCAAAUCCUGACAUCUUCAUCCAACACAGAGUGGUUCAGAACACUUUCUCCCAAUCUCUGUGCCAGAGUGGCUCCUGGCUUGAGUAUUGAACACACUCCAAGCAAUUUCUCAGUUUUACAAACACCCGUGCCACUCAACCUCAUGUACUUCAUUUGCUUGUUUGAUAAACACAGGGAAGAUCAUAUUGGUCACAUUUCCUUAGAUUGACCUUAUCAGUGCCAAUCUAAUGCUGCAUUACUUGGGGACUUCCUGCAUUCAGGUUGUCAGUGUAGCGAUAGCUCACCUGAAGCAAAGGAGGCAGAGAAAGGAACUCGGAUGCCUUGAGUGGAUCCAAGGAGUGGUGACUGUAUUUAAUUAGCACCAGUAUUCUGGGUCAACAGCCAUAGCAAUCGGAUCCUAGGUGGAUCCCCAAAACAUCCCACACCUCAGAAAUGGAGGGAGGGAACAUGGAUGUGGUACAGAAACACAUUUUUUUUGUUUUUUUUUGAGGGGGCAAGAUGAACUGCACAGUUUUGAGUCUCAGUAGUUGCACUUCAAAUCAGCACAUGCACUGACGGCUCUCUCUAUCCCCGAUUACAGCCUUGUGUCUCUCUGCCUGUGUAUUCUCUUGGUCUCUCACUGUCUCUGUUCUCUCUCUCUCCCUCCCCACCCCCAUGCCUUUGUCACUGUGUCUCUCUGAUUUUCCAACUCCCAAACGUAAACAGUCCAGGAGCAAGGCAGAACUUGGAUUUUACACCGCUUUUCCACUUAGCGGUUUGCAAUCCUGACACGUCUCUGACGGGCAGUUUCCCCAUCUUUAACAUGGAGGCAGUAAUACCAAUCUUGCUGAGUUGCUAUUAGAAUAAAGUGAAACAAAGAAUAUAUAUUAGGCUACUCAGUUCCUGGCUCAUAACAAGGGGUCAAUAAAUGUUAGGUCCCUCCCAUAUCUCCCAUGUACUUUCCCUUCAUGACAUAUAGAAUCCCAUCAGUCUGUUGGCUUUCCUCUGGUGUGGCUUGCCCUCGGCCCAUUUUCAGAUCAGCCCAUGGAGCCAUGACUGGCUGGAACCAUUUUUCAUCCAAUUGGUCUCAUUCCAGCAGUUUCAUGAGGCCUCUUGUUAUAAAUCAGUCUGAGAAAAUAAACAUCCCCAGUCCAUUAGUGCCUUUCCACCCCACACCAAUCGGAGCCACAAACCAGCCAAGGCUUGUUAAUGGCCACUUGAAUACAUUCCCAUAGCCCAGCCUGGAGACCCGCAGCUUCAUGUUCUACCAGCUCCUGCCCAGCAAAAGCCCUAAGGUGACCAGACUGCUGACAGCAAAGGCACUGACCUGAUCCUUAUCAGUUAGGGGGGACCACACACCUGGUUUACCUAGGACAAUUCCAGUUUCCUCCUGUAGUUCCAGACUAAUUACUUUAGUGCGCCUUUCAGAAGAGCUCCAGUUUGAAUGCUAAACCAUAGAGAGUGUCUAUGGAAACCAAAAAUAAUCGUUUAAGUAAUAACAGCUAUCAUUUAUUUACCACUUGCUGUGUGCCAGGCAUCGUCAGGAAGGUCCUUAUGCACUGUAUCUCAUUUGAACUCCGUUACAACACUACACAGAAAGGGGCUGUGAUUACCUCCAUUUCACAGGACGCUGAAGUUUGGAGGAGUAAGCAACAUGUGCAAAGUUAACUAGUAUAGAAGGCACACCGUUUGUGCCUCACCCCGUCCCUCUCACUAGGCAGUGCACCCACCCAUCAGCCGCCGGGAGUGCGGGCUGCUCGCUCAGACCGGUCCCCUCUCCUGCUUCCCCACUUCCAAGGGGAACUGUCCUCAGUCAAACAGAAGCCAAGUCUGCUUGUAGGUUCCAUGCCCCCACUCAGGAAGUAGCCCACACCCCAAAACUAACUGAAGAAAGUGGGAAGGAUGGGAGGUGUAGAGGUACAAAAGAUUUCUCCCAUUGCUUCUAGGUCAGAUGAACUCUGUGGUACAAUUCAUGCUCCAGAAUUCCUGAUGGGAUCCAGUGAAACCACAUCCUUACUUAGCCUCUCUCCCUGCCCUAUCCCGCUUCUCUUGCUCCCAUUCUCCUGAAAGCAUCCUCAAUCAACCGCUUAGAAAAAACAUCCCUGUCUCAGGCUCUGCUGCCAGGGACCAGACCUAAGACAUCCAGUUAGCAAGUGGCAGAGCUGUGACUCAUGUCUAGGAAGGUCUCACUCUUAAUCACUAAGAAGCCGUGGCAUGAUAUUGCCUGAUCAUACACAUGAUUAAAAUGAUGGCCUCCAAGUUAUCAAGCUGCCAAGAACCAUGUCACAGUUUAUGACAACAAAGAUGACAACAGUCGCAACAAUAGCUACUAUUUACUUAAUGCUAACCGUAGACCAGUCUCUUCCUUGCAUCCAGUCCUCUCAACACCAUGAAGUUCAUCUUCAUAUCCCCAUUUUACAGCCAAGGCACAGAAAGCUUAGAGGAGGUAAGAGACAGGUCCGCUGACACUACACAGGUAGAAAGGGGUGGUGCCUGAGCUUCCAGCUCCACCUUUCUGCAAAGGCCACGCACCUCCUCGGUGUGGCUGCCCAAACCACUUGCCGUGUAAACUGGUCAAAGAAUGGUUGGUGAAAUGGGUUCCCCAUCAAAACUGAUGUUCUUGUAACAAUUUAGACAGAAAACUUUCCUGUCCCUGAGUUGGUUCUUUUUGCGCUGUAUUUGACCAUCCUGUCUCCAUUUUAGGGGAAAAGCUGUAUUACUCUGGAAACAGCCACGAGUGUUCCCUUAAGCCAGACAUAAAAAGAUCAAAGGAGCUGUCUUCACUG